rnacentral:rRNA from 1 species
GUAGGUGGCAAGCGUUGUCCGGAAUUAUUGGGCGUAAAGCGCGCGCAGGCGGUCCUUUAAGUCUGAUGUGAAAGCCCACGGGCUCAACCGUGGAGGGUCAUUGGAAACUGGGGGACUUGAGUACAGAAGAGGAAGGCGGAAUUCCAAGUGUAGCGGUGAAAUGCGUAGAGAUUUGGAGGAACACCAGUGGCGAAGGCGGCUUUCUGGUCUGUAACUGACGCUGAGGCGCGAAAGCGUGGGGAGCAAACAGGAUUAGAUACCCUGGUAGUCCACGCCGUAAACGAUGAGUGCUAAGUGUUAGGGGGUUUCCGCCCCUUAGUGCUGCAGCUAACGCAUUAAGCACUCCGCCUGGGGAGUACGGCCGCAAAGGCUGA